UUGCCGGAUAGCCAAAUUGGUAAGGCACCUGAUUCUGGUUCAGGCGAUUCUAGGUUCGAAUCCUAGUCGGCCAA
rnacentral:tRNA from 1 species